UACGGAGGAUGCAAGCGUUAUCCGGAAUCAUUGGGCGUAAAGGGUCCUGAGGUGGCCUGCCCAGUCUGCUGUGAAAGAUCAGGGCUCAACCCUGAAGAUGCGGCAGAAACUAGCAGGCUAGGAUACGGUAGGGGCAGGGGGAAUUCCCGGUGUAGCGGUGAAAUGCAUAGAUAUCGGGAGGAACACCAAAGGCGAAGGCACCCUGCUGGGCCGAUAUUGACACUGACAGACGAGAGCUAGGGGAGCGAAUGGG
rnacentral:rRNA from 1 species